GACGAACGCUGGCGGCGUGCUUAACACAUGCAAGUCGAACGGAAAGGCCCUGCUUUUGUGGGGUGCUCGAGUGGCGAACGGGUGAGUAACACGUGAGUAACCUGCCCUUGACUUUGGGAUAACUUCAGGAAACUGGGGCUAAUACCGGAUAGGAGCUCCUGCUGCAUGGUGGGGGUUGGAAAGUUUCGGCGGUUGGGGAUGGACUCGCGGCUUAUCAGCUUGUUGGUGGGGUAGUGGCUUACCAAGGCUUUGACGGGUAGCCGGCCUGAGAGGGUGACCGGCCACAUUGGGACUGAGAUGCGGCCCAGACUCCUACGGGAGGCAGCAGUGGGGAAUGUUACACAAUGGGCGGAAGCCUAAUGCAGCAACGCCGCGUGCGGGAUGACGGCCUUCGGGUUGUAAACCGCUUUCGCCUGUGACGAAGCGUGAGUGACGGUAAUGGGUAAAGAAGCACCGGCUAACUACGUG
rnacentral:rRNA from 1 species